GUGAUACUCCCUCCGUCCGAAAAUACUUGUCAUCAAAAUAGAUAAAAAGAGAUGUAUCUAGAACUAAAAUACAUCUAGAUACAUCCCCUUUUAUCCAUUUUGAUGACAAGUAUUUCCGGACGGAGGGAGUAUUUA
rfam:Triticum urartu cultivar G1812 contig623446, whole genome shotgun sequence.